AUGUAAAAAAGAAAAUAGCAACGAUUACGAUAUGUUGGAAUCUAGCAAAAAUAUAUCUACUGAGGUAAGUGACCAUGAACUUAGAGACGACGGUACUAUAUACAACGGUACUAAUGAACUCUCAAACAACGAUGUUACAAAUUUCAGAAGCAAUAAAGAUAUUUCCAUUAUAAAUGAAAAAAAUAAAUCAGAUUAUAUAAACUUAGGUGCUCUAGAUUUUAGUACAUAUAAAGAAGAUUCUGAGGGGUAUAUAAAAUAUUGUGAGAGUAAAAAAAGUGCAACUAUAUCAAAUAAUAGCAAAAAUAACAACAAUAUAAAUACUAAUAAUACAUCUAAAACUGUUUCACCUUUAGAAAUGAAAAAGAAAAGAAUGAUUAAUCAAUCAGUAUACGUAAAAAAUAAUAAUAAUAACACUAGCAGUAAAUACUCGCAAAUUCGUACAACAUCUAAUUUGAAUAAAAGUGUAUAUAUAGAUAAGAAUUUAAAAAUGGGGAAUAUCAGCAAGAGCAUUAGUAAUAGUACCACUGGGAAUAUAAAAAAAAUGGAUACUUUACAUAAUAAAAGUGUAUAUGUAAACAGCAAUAUUGGAAAUAUAAAUUUAGGUGUUCAUAAAAAAGAUGUUAAAAGUAGUAUUUCUAAAAGUACAUUUGUUCCUAGUAGUAGUGUUAGACCUAUGACAUCAUCAUCUUCUCAUAUAAAUAAAAGUAUUUACAUAAAUUCAAAACUAAUGAAGAAUAAAAAUAGUAAUGUAAAUGUAAAUGAUAAUUUACUAGCUGUAAGUAAGUUGUCUGUUUUGAACAAAAAUAAUGUAACAAAUACUAACGAUAAUAACAAAUUGAAUACAAUAAAACCAGGAAAUUUAUGUAAUAGCAUUUAUUUAAAAAAAAAAAAUAUUAUUAUAUCAAAUAACAAUAAUAACAAUCAGAUGAUUAACAACAGCAGCUUAAAUAAAACUUCUUAUAAUAAAUUCAAUAUACCUUCAAAUGAAGUAAAAAAAAGAAAAAUAGAAGACGAAUUUUCAUCUGAUUCAAAAAAUUCUGUAAUAACUAAUGUGAAUUUAAAAAACCGAAUGAAUACUAUUAACUAUGGUGAUGGUAGUAAUAACGGAAUAAAAAUAUCGAAUGUUCAAAGUGACGAUAGUAAUAAAUAUAUAAAUGUUGUUAAAAAAGAAAAUAUGUUAGAAGAAGAUUUAAAAGAAAACAACAAAAACUCAAAAUGUGUUAAUAAUGUUUUAAACAAUAUUAUAAAUGAAAAAAAAGAGAAUCAUAAAAUGAAUAAACAACUGAAUGAGUAUUUGAUUUCUUCAUAUAUUCCUUUGACGAUGGGAGAUGUAGAAAGUUUAUUUGGAGGUGACUAUACAUUUUGUAAAAAUGACACUACAGAAGAAUAUGCUUCUACGAGUGGUACUACUACUAUUAGUACUACUACUGCUGGUAUUACUGCUGGUAUUACUGCUGGUAUUACUGCUGGUAUUACUGCUGGUAUUACUGCUGGUAUUACUGCUGGUAUUACUACUAGUACUACUGCUAUUAAUACUGCUAGUACUACUGCUAUUACUACUGCUAUUAAUACUGAUAGUACUACUGAUAGUACUACUGAUAGUACUACUGCUAGUACUACUGCUAGUACUACUGCUAGUACUACUGCUAAAACUACUAUGACAGAUACAUAUACUACGAUGAAAAACGAUGCCAGCACAAUGACCGACGCCGUUACAAACAUGGCUGAUGAAGUUUUUUCAAAAUCAUUGUAUAUCAUUAAAGAAAACGAACAAAAUGAUACAGAAAAUACAAACAUGAGUAUGUCAAACAAUAAUAAAUUAAUUAACACUAACGACUUAACUAAUAAUAUAAAAAAUGAUAUAUUAUCAUGUUCUGAUGAUUUAAAUGUUAAUAAAAAUGUGAUUAAACAAGAAAAAUCUUCGGAAGUACAUUAUAAUUUACAUAUCAAUAAUGAACCUAACAAAUUAAGUGAUGCAUUAUUACUAAGUCGUAAAAAUGUGAUUUUGAAUAUAAAUAAAGAAGUAAUGCGAUUAAAGGCACAAGGAAAUAAAGGGCAAAAAAUGGACAAAGAAGAAAAGGCAGGAGUAGUAGCAGUAGAAGGAGCAGGAGCAGACGCAAUGACAAUAAAAGUAGAAGAUGAAAAUGAUAUUGAUUCGACAAAAACAGUACGAGUUAAUGAUGAACUAAACUUGAAAAGACAAGAGAGGAUGAUGUUAAAUAAAAUUCCUUUCUCUAGUUCUUUGAAGAAAAAUUUACUUUCCUGUGGAGAUUCAGAUGCAGGUUCUGUUGCAAGCUCUAUUGCAAGCUCUAUUGCAAGCUCUGUUGCAGGAUCAGUUUCAGAAACAAAACAAAAUGAUCAAGUGAAUAAACAUAACGUAGUAGAUAAUAAUCGAGCCAAUUUCCACAUUGAAAUGAAUUUAAAUUUAGAAUACAUUUCACUGGAUCUAGUUGAUUUAGAUGUUGCUAUAAAUGAAGGUUUACAUUAUUACAAAAAAGUGGAAGAUAGUUAUAUAGCAAGUGAAAAACACAUACAUAAUAUAAUUCAAUAUAAUAAGAUACUAAAAAAAGAAAAAAACACCGUCACUUCUGGUAUGGUUUGUUUAAAUAUGUAUGAUAAGAAUGGACUUACUGAAUUUACUUCUAAGUGUAGCUCUAUCAAGAAUGGAAAAGAAGAACAAAACAGAAUAAUUCAUUUUAAAUCUUCUGAUGAAAUAAAAAACGAAAUGAUUAAAUAUAUUGGGAUUUCUAUAUUCUAUUGUAUAGCUAGUGAAUCAUUGGUUCCGUCUGCUUCAUUAAAAAACGAUAAAAGACUAGAAUUAUGGUUUACUAAAAAAAAGAAACAGAAAAUAAAUACAAAAAUGUUAUCCGAUUCUAAAAAUGGUGAAACUAAUUUUAGAUUCAAAAAAAAAAUAACAAGGGCUAGUUGUAUUGGAUACUUUUCGCAACCUAUAACUAUAAUGCUAUGUUCAUUGAAAAGAAGAAGUGAAUAUAAAAAUUUAAAACGUAUCAUAAGGUCAAUUAUAAAAUGUACUUGUGAUUCUUCUACUCUUGAAAUUAUUUUACAUACCAUACCUGAUGAAUUUAGUAAACAUUUUUCACUUUGGAAUGAAGCAGUAAGACAGUUAGAUGCGCAUGUGGGUGCAGAUAAAAAGAAGGAAAUAAUAAAAAAAUAUUUUUUAAAAAAAAAACAAAACGUUAAAGAGAGAAUAGAAGCUGGAUUAGAUACAGAGUGGUCUGACACAGUUGUGUCAGACCAAAAUGACUCUAGCUCUGAUUCCAACGGACGCAAUAAAUAUCAUAAUAAUGAUAAAAAAUUUAAUUUUAGACAAUAUGACUAUAUGAAAAAAAUGAACAAUUAUAACAAUGGUUUAAAUAUGAGUGAUUAUUUUACAACAGAUAAUGACAUAAUUGAAAAUGAUGCAUGUGGAAUGUCAAAAAAAAUAAUGGGUCCAUCGAAAGAACAACAUAAUAUAAAAAAUAAAGAAGAUAAAAAAAAGAAUGAUGAUUUUAACAUUUUAGAAGAUGAAGAGUUUUGUUUAUUUAUUUGUUCUAUAAAAAAUAUACAUAAACGAUUUAAAUAUUUGAUAUUAAUAGAAAAUUUUGAUUAUAUAUAUAAAGACUUACUAAAACAUAUAAUUAAUAAAUUACAUAUGAUUGAUUUGAUAAUAAAUAAGCAUAUUUUAUUAAAACAACUUUUUUGUAAUAUUUUAUAUUUAUGUAAUUGGUUAAACACACCAAAAAUAUAUAAAUGGUUUCAUUGGAAUGUUGUAUUUAAAAAAAUGGAAAAAUUGUACGGGUAUUUAGAAAAUGGUCGAAUAUCAAAAGAAAAGUGUAUUAUGCUUCUUUUAGCUGAACAU
ensembl:lncRNA